rnacentral:rRNA from 1 species
CACGUAGGCACCAAGCGUUGUCCGGAUUUAUUGGGCGUAAAGAGCUCGUAGGCGGUUCGGUAAGUCGGGUGUGAAAACUUUGGGCUCAACCCCAAGCGUGCACUCGAUACUGCCGUGACUAGAGUUCGGUAGGGGAGCGGGGAAUUCCUAGUGUAGCGGUGAAAUGCGCAGAUAUUAGGAGGAACACCGGUGGCGAAGGCGCCGCUCUGGGCCGAAACUGACGCUGAGGAGCGAAAGCGUGGGUAGCAAACAGG